AUGCCUACGGGGGGCAGCAGUGGGGAAUCUUGGGCAAUGGGCGCAAGCCUGACCCAGCAACGCCGCGUGAAGGAAGAAGGCUUUCGGGUUGUAAACUUCUUUUCUCAGGGACGAAGCAAGUGACGGUACCUGAGGAAUAAGCCACGGCUAACUACGUGCCAGCAGCCGCGGCAAUACGUAGGUGGCAAGCGUUAUACGGAUUUACUGGGUGUAAAGGGCGUGUAGGCGGGAAAGCAAGGCAGAUGUGAAAACCAUGGGCUCAACCUGGGGCCGGCAUU
rnacentral:rRNA from 1 species